rnacentral:rRNA from 1 species
AGACGAGGGGUCCUAGCGUUGUUCGGAAUCAUUGGGCGUAAAGCGGGUGUAGGUGGAAUUGUAAGUCAGAUGUGAAAUCCCAGGGCUCAACCCUGGACGUGCAUUUGAAACUGCGAUUCUUGAGUGUAGGAGAGGAUAGUGGAAUUCCUGGUGUAGUGGUGAAAUACGUAGAUAUCAGGAGGAACACCGGUAGCGAAGGCGGCUAUCUGGCCUAACACUGACACUGAGACCCGAAAGCGUGGGGAGCAAACAGGAUUAGAAACCCCAGUAGUCC